GUGGGGAAUAUUGGGCAAUGGGCGCAAGCCUGACCCAGCAACGCCGCGUGAGGGAAGAAGGUCUUCGGAUUGUAAACCUCUGUCCUUGGUGACGAAGGAAGUGACGGUAGCCAAGGAGGAAGCCCCGGCUAACUACGUGCCAGCAGCCGCGGUAAUACGUAGGGGGCGAGCGUUGUCCGGAAUUACUGGGCGUAAAGGGUGCGUAGGCGGUACUUUAAGUUGGAUGUGAAAUACCCGGGCUUAACUUGGGGGGUGCAUCCAAUACUGGAGAACUAGAGUGCAGGAGAGGGAAGCGGAAUUCCUAGUGUAGCGGUGAAAUGCGUAGAUAUUAGGAGGAACACCAGUGGCGAAGGCGGCUUUCUGGACUGUAACUGACGCUGAGGCACGAAAGCGUGGGGAGCAAACAGG
rnacentral:rRNA from 1 species